GCUCCCUUAGCCUAGUGGUAGGGCGUCAGACUUCUAUUGAAGUUAUAAAUUUUAUCUGAAGGUCGUGGGUUCGACCCCCACAGGGAGCU